CUUCGUCUUCGUGCCCUGAAACCUUCCUUCAUUUUGUUGAAACUUGAAUCAGUUACCCUAGGUUCAUUAUUUCAUCAUCGGUAUAGUGUAGGAGAUAAUGCAUUUUUAUUCGCCAAUAUUUUUGGUCCCUUGAACAAUCCCAGGUUUAUCUAUGUAUA